CAAAAGGCCCUUUUCAGGGCCACCCCAUUGCUCACGGGGAGAGCUGU
rfam:Manacus vitellinus contig39287, whole genome shotgun sequence.